UGGGGAAUUUUGCGCAAUGGGGAAACCCUGACGCAGCAACGCCGCGUGAGUGAUGAAGGCUUUCGGGUCGUAAAGCUCUGUCUAGAGGGAAGAAAUGAUAAUCGGUUAAUACCCGGUUUUCUUGACGGUACCUCUGAAGGAAGCACCGGCUAACUCCGUGCCAGCAGCCGCGGUAAUACGGAGGGUGCAAGCGUUGUUCGGAUUUAUUGGGCGUAAAGCGCGUGUAGGCGGUUUGUUAAGUCUGAUGUGAAAGCCCCGGGCUCAACCUGGGAAGUGCAUUGGAAACUGGCAGACUUGAAUACGGGAGAGGGUAGUGGAAUUCCUAGUGUAGGAGUGAAAUCCGUAGAUAUUAGGAGGAACACCGGUGGCGAAGGCGGCUACCUGGACCGAUAUUGACGCUGAGACGCGAAAGCGUGGGGAGCAAAC
rnacentral:rRNA from 1 species